rnacentral:rRNA from 1 species
UACGAAGGGGGCUAGCGUUGUUCGGAUUUACUGGGCGUAAAGCGCACGUAGGCGGAUCGUUAAGUCGGGGGUGAAAUCCUGGAGCUCAACUCCAGAACUGCCUUCGAUACUGGCGAUCUUGAGUCCGGAAGAGGUGAGUGGAACUCCUAGUGUAGAGGUGGAAUUCGUAGAUAUUAGGAAGAACACCAGGUGGCGAAGCGGCUCACUGGUCCGGUACUGACGCUGAGGUGCGAAAGCGUGGGGAGCAAACAGG